CAUGGUCAUGGCCUGCCUAUUUCAUACAUAUACUCCAUUGUACCUAAUAAAACAUAUAAUUCUUUCAUAAUUACUCACCUACAUUUUUCCUCUUGAUAGGCGACAUAGAUGGUUCCAGGAACUUGCCCUCACCAAAAGAAGCAAAAGGCAGGAACAAUGCCGGCUGCCAACCAGCAGCCACCACGCACACCAGUCAGAUUGACAAGGCAAAGUGCAGUCAUGCCUUCGCCUGGAGGCUGCCCGCCACCUAAGCCAAGACAUCCCUUGCCUCCUAAGACCACUUCGAAAGCCACCCCUAAAAGAAAUGCCAUUUCCAGUAGUACCCAACAACAGGUCCAGGCCAGUACAACAACUACUGAGACCACUGAAACUACAAACCCAGUGUCUUUUCCUCCAAAAAUGACCAGGUCCACUCAAGCAAUGUCUUCACCAGUUCGAAACACAAUGCCUGGACCUACUAGACACACCAUGCAUAGUCCUCCUAGAUUCACUAGG
rnacentral:misc_RNA from 1 species